rnacentral:rRNA from 2 species
GGGCUUAGCAUAUCAAUAAGCGGAGGAAAAGAAACUAACAAGGAUUCCCCUAGUAACUGCGAGUGAAGCGGGAAAAGCUCAAAUUUAAAAUCUGGCAGUCUUUGGUUGCCCGAGUUGUAGUCUGGAGAAGUGCUUUCUGCGCUGGACCGUGUACAAGUCUCUUGGAACAGAGCGUCAUAGAGGGUGAGAAUCCCGUCUUUGACACGGACUACCAGUGCUUUGUGAUGCGCUCUCAAAGAGUCGAGUUGUUUGGGAAUGCAGCUCAAAAUGGGUGGUAAAUUCCAUCUAAAGCUAAAUAUUGGCGAGAGACCGAUAGCGAACAAGUACCGUGAGGGAAAGAUGAAAAGCACUUUGGAAAGAGAGUUAAACAGUACGUGAAAUUGCUGAAAGGGAAACGCUUGAAGUCAGUCACGUUGGCCAGAACUCAGCCUUGCUUUAAUGUUUGGUGCAUUUUCUGGUUGACGGGCCAGCAUCAAUUUUGACCGCUGGAUAAAGGCUGGAGGAAUGUGGCACCUUCGGGUGUGUUAUAGCCUCUGGUCACAUACAGUGGUUGGGAUUGAGGAUCUCAGCAUGCCUUUAUGGUCGGGGUUCGCCCACGUUUCAUGCUUAGGAUGCUGGCAUAAUGGCUUUAAACGACCCGUCUUGAAACACGGACCAAGGAGUCUAACAUACCUGCGAGUGUUUGGGUGGAAAACCCGAGUGCGUAAUGAAAGUGAAAGUUGAGAUCCCUGUCGUGGGGAGCAUCGACGCCCGGACCAGACCUUUUGUGACGGAUCUGCGGUAGAGCAUGUAUGUUGGGACCCGAAAGAUGGUGAACUAUGCCUGAAUAGGGUGAAGCCAGAGGAAACUCUGGUGGAGGCUCGUAGCGAUUCUGACGUGCAAAUCGAUCGUCAAAUUUGGGUAUAGGGGCGAAAGACUAAUCGACCAUCUUAUGC